rnacentral:lncRNA from 1 species
GGGUAUGAUGCAGUCUAUGGAAGCACUAAAAAACAAGGGGAUGCUAGUCCAAUUGCUGGCUAUGAUGCAGUCUAUGGAAGCACUCAAAAACAAGGGGAUGCUAGUCCAAUUGCUGGAUAUGAUGCAGUCUAUGGAACCUCUCAAAAAGCAGAAGGAAGUUCCAUCAAUGUUCACAAGGAUGCUAGCUCAAUUGCCGGAUAUGAUGCAGUCUAUGGAAACUCUCAACAAAAAGCAGGAGGAAGUUCUAUCAAUGCUUACAAAGAUUCUAGCCCAGUUGCGGGGUAUGAUGCAGUUAAUGUGUUUUUGGAAAAAGACCUGCAUCCUGGGACAAAAAUGGCGGUGCGCUUCACAAAAACCUCAAGUGCAGCUCAUUUCUUGCCCCAUCAAGUUGCUGAAUCCAUACCUUUUUCAUCAAACAAGCUACCAGAAAUUUUGAAGCGAUUCUCCGUGAAAGAAAACUCCGCAGAAGCCCAGAUAAUACAGAAAACAAUAAAACAAUGUGAGACGCCUGCCAUAGUAGGAGAAGUUAAGUACUGUGCGAGGUCCUUGGAGUCCCUAAUUGAUUUCAGCACUUCAAGGCUGGGAAAAAACAUUCGAGUUCUCUCCAAUGAGGUGGAAGCGGAUAUCCAGGAGUAUAAAUUUGGAGAGGGAGUGAAGAUGGUGGGAGAGAAAUCAGUGGUGUGCCACCAGCUGAACUAUCCAUAUGCUGUGGCAUUCUGCCAUACACUUCACAUGACAAAGAUUUACAUGGUUCCAUUGGUGGGUGCUGAUGGAACCGGAGUUGAAGCUGUAGCAGUUUGUCACCGGGACACGUCAACUUGGGACCCAAAGGCUUUGGUCUUUCAAAGCCUCAAAGUUAAGCCAGGAACUUUGCCCAUCUGCCAUUUCCUUCCCAAUGGUCAUACUGUCUGGGUUCCAAAGUAGGUAGAGAUCCGCAGAAAGCCUCCAACCCAAUUGCUGGCUUGCAGUUUCUGUAAUAUAUUGUGUGCUUUGAAUAACUGCUAGGGUUGAGGAAUGUGUGUCCUAACUCCUAUGUGUAAUAUUAUUCAGUAACGAGUGACUCUCUCCUUGGUUAUUUAUUUUUUCGGGUUUAUUUCAUUACCUUCUUUCGAUUAAGUACAUCUAGCAACCACGCUUUUUAAAAAAUAAAACCAUGAUAUAUAAAAGUGUUAAAUAUAUAAUAUAAGCAAAUUCGUCUUCUAUCUUAUAUUAAAAUGAAUGAAAAAGGUUACAACGAUGAAACUCUCGAAAAACACUUUUCAAUUACAACCACACUUUUUAAAAAAUAAAACCCUAAUAUAUAAAAUGGUCAAAUAUAUAAUAGGAACAAAUUCGUCAUUUAUCAUAUAAAAAAAGAUUCUCCAAAUACCCCAGUAAAAGAGCAACAAUAACUUAAAAUUGUUUUUAUUCAAGUAUAUGGUUGUAGUAAAAUUGUUUAUGUUAUUCUAUAGUUUGUUGUUGUGUAAGAGGAAUAUUAAUAACAACUAGUUUCAAACAUAAUACUGAAGAUCAUAUUGCCAUUUUUUUUUUCAUGUUGAAGAUAUAAUAUAAUUAUUAAACAAAAUGGGGUGACUUUGAUUUAAAGUAUUUAAUUUUAAGUUAAUAAUUUUAGAAAUAACAUUUUGAAUAAGUAUAAACAUGAAAUAAUCCAAUAAAACUAAGACUUGAUAUAUAAAUUCUAAGAAUAAAAUAUUAUGCUCGUUUAACAUAAAUGUUAAAAUUUUAAUUUGAUAUUUAAAUUUAUAAAUAAAAAUGGAAUUAAUAAAAAUAAAUUGAAAUGAUUUUAAUGAAUAUAAAAUAAACAUUAUUUAAUUUAAUUUUAGUAUAUGAAAGAUAAAAAUUAAUAUAUAUAUAUAUAUAUAUAUAUAUAUAGAAAACAAUAAAACAAUGUGAGACGCCUGCCAUAGUAGGAGAAGUUGAGUACUGUGCGAGGUCCUUGGAGUCCCUAAUUGAUUUCAGCACUUCAAGGCUGGGAAAAAAUUUGGAGAGGGAGUGAAGAUGGUGGGAGAGAAAUCAGUGGUGUGCCACCAGCUGAACUAUCCAUAUGCUGUGGCAUUCUGCCAUACACUUCACAUGACAAAGAUUUACAUGGUUCCAUCGGUGGGUGCUGAUGGAACCGGAGUUGAAGCUGUAGCAGUUUGUCACCGGGACACUUCAACUUGGGACCCAAAGGCUUUGGUCUUUCAAAGGCUCAAAGUUAAGCCAGGAACUUUGCCCAUCUGCCAUUUCCUUCCCAAUGGUCAUAUUGUCUGAGUUCCAAAGUAGGCAGAGAUCCGCAGAAAGCCUCAAACCCAAUUUCUGGCUUGCAGUUUCUGUAACAUAUUGUGUGCUAUUUGAAUAACGGCAAGGGUUGAGGAAUAUGCAUCCCAACUCCUAUGUGUAAUAUUAUUCAGUAACGAGUGACUUUCUCCUUGAUUAUUUAUUUUUUCAAGUUAAUUUCAUUGACCUUCUCUCAACUACGUACAUCUAACUCUCAUAAUUUUAAAAUUUCAUUAAAUAUUAGGCUUAUUCUUUUCAUUUCUUAUUUUCACUUAUUACCUAUUUAAUUCAAAAUAAAGGAAAUGUACCAUGAAAAUUUAAAUUUACAAGAAUUAAAUAUAUUUAAUCAAAAUCUUAAAAAUGGUGAAUGAAAUUAACUUUUAUUUUUUUGUUAAUAUUAUCUAUUGCAAAUAAAAGGAAACAGUGACCAGAAGAAUAGUGACAAUACUUACUAUAAUCAUUUUAUUUCAGUAAUAAUAAAAGCAAAAAUUUCAUUAUUUAAUUACCUCAACAAUAAUCAUGUCACAAUUAUUCAAAGAAUAUAGUCCCGGAACAAUACUGAAAAUUAUUAUUAUUAUUAUUUUAUUUGAAUGAUAGUAAAAAUAUGACAUUUAUCUCUUUUUGUUUUACCUACUUAAUUUCCAAACCCAUCCAUUUUUUUUCCUUCGAGUUUUCUAUUUUUAUUUAUUUUUAUAUUUUAUAAAAGAUUUUUCAAAUGAUCAAAUUUUUAAAUAAAUAUUAGUUUGAUUGUGGUUAUCAAUUUUCUUGCUAUACAAAGAAAAACACCAAAUCAAACGGUAUUUGAUGUUUUAAACUCUUUAACAAAUCUAAUAACUUUUAAAAAUAAUUUAGAAACCAAUUAAUACCUAUUGCAACCUAAAAAUGUGCUAUCCAUGUUGACAAUUUAUUACCCCAUUUCCAAUUGUAGUUGUAGAUGAGGGAGAUAAUUUUCCUGAUGAGGGCAUUAUUAUAAACAUUAUUACGAUGGUAUGGCAAAGUGAAGGAUGCAUUAUGAUGGAGCUUCCAACAAUCGAGAACAUGUUGUUGAUGUAUUUUAGUUAUUUCUCUUCUAGGUGAUCACAUUCCUAAUCAAUUAUAUAAUCAUAAUGAUUGAAAUCGAUGCAAUCGAAGCAUUAAAAAACCAAUGUGAAGGAACGAGUCUUAAGUACAAAUAAAUGGAAUCACUUAUAAAAAUUAAGAAUAUAAAAAAUAAUAUUUAAAUUUAAAAAUGUAUUAAUAAUAUAAUAAAUUAUUAUCAAAUAUAAAGAUAUAUGAUCUCCAUCACAUUUUUCAACUGCCGUCCAACUUGGCAGCCAAUGUCGCUACCCUCCUUUCAACCUCUUCCAUGAUGACCUCAUUAGUCUAGAUCUUUCGGAGAUAGUCUGCAUAGGUCCGAUGGAAUCAAUAGUUUGGUUCUAAUAAGUUUGGUUCAGUUUGGUUCUUUCUUUAGAGAGCAAUGAGAAUAUACCCUGUCGACAAUAAUGUCGGUUUCCCAUCGGAAUGAGUUUGUAGAGGAGAAAAAAAGGGUAGCUUUAGCACAAAAUUCAUAUUACUGUAUGUGACAGAAAUAACUUUAAAAUAUACCAAGUGGGGAUUAAAAUUUGUUCAUUAUUUAAAAAGAAAUGUAUAAGAAUACUAUCUAAUUCUCCGGGAUUAAGAUUCCAAUCAAUCAGCCAAUUCCAUUGGAAAGCAUCUAUCAAAUUGAUAAAGCCGAUGAACAACCUCUCACACAGGAUAUUGUCUUAAAUUUCAAUUAGAUAACGACGAUGCGACAACCUCUCACACACGAAUGCCUUACGUAGUAGUUUAAUGGAAUUAGCUUUGUCUGUGCCUAUGCCACCAGCAUUUUAAUUAAUGCUUGUGGGACAUGAGUGAGAGAAGAAAUCAACAAUAAAUAGGAAGCCAUGCACUUCCCUCCUUUCCAUUCUGGGUUCUAGGCGGCUAGCUUUGUACGAGUUGGAGUAGUUUCAGAGCUUUAAUGGAGUUUCAUCUCCUUCCCAUUCUGACUUCUUUCUUGGUGAGCCUUCACUUCCACCUUUUCUUGAACACUUCGUUUUUAUAUUUCAUGGAAUAUAACUUACAUAUAUGGCAUGAAGUACUUGUGGCAGCUGGUGGUGGUCAGCCAUGCUUAUUCUCUACCUUCCGAGGUUGAUUGGAUGUCGGGUUUGCCUAACACUCCCUUCCCGAAAGCUAUGCGGAAUCUCUUAAUGCAGCCUGGUUGGUUUCCAACUUCCUCUUUUGUUGGCUCAUAGUAAUAGUGUGUUGAAUAAUGUAUUUAUGAGAAUCAUCUAUCAAAUAUUUCUUCGGAAAAUAUUAUAAGUAUUUUUUCAAUGAUGAUUUUUCAUAUUUUUAAAGAUAUUUCCUAAAAUUUUAUCAAAUAUCAAAUGAGUUCUAAACCUGUUUGAGAACUAUUGCUAGUUUGAAUGACCAUAAUAGACUAAAAAAUGACUUGAGUAGAGAUGAGAUUUAUUUAUUUUAAUAUUUAUGUCAAUUAUGGGGAUUAUAGGUAAUGACGAAUUUGAAAAAUAAAAUGUAACAUCGAGUAUAAAUGAGUUAUAAUCAUGUGAAAUUAUCAACAACCAUGUUUUGAUAAAAUAUUUGCUGCUUAAUGCAACAAAUUAAAUGGCCUUAAUUAGUUAUACCAUCAAUCAUGGGUUUAUGUGUGGCUUUAAGAAAAUAUGUGUCCUUAAUUAUUUCUCAAGUUAUUAUCCUCGUCAUCAUAAUUAACCUUUUAAAUUGUUGAAUUUGCAAACACAACAAAAGACGGAAGUUCUACCAAUGCUGACAAGACCAUCCCCACUGCUAAAUACGACACCCUUUAUGAAAACCCUCAAAAAGCAGCGAAAAGUUCUAUAAAUGCUCGCAAGAAUGCUAGCCAAAUUAAUCAAUACGAUUUAGUUCAUGAAAACCUUAGAAAGUUAAAUGAAAGCUCUAUCGAAUCUCCCAAGGAUGCUAGCUCACUUGUCGGAUAUGAUGCAAUCUAUGGAAACGCCAAAAAACAAGGAGAUGCUGUCCCAAUUACCGGAUCAUAUGAUGCAGUCUAUGGAAACCCCAAAAAACAAGGAGAUGCUACCCCCGGAUCAUAUGAUGCAGUCUAUGGAAACCCCAACAAACAAGAAGAUGCCACCCCCGGGUCAUAUGAUGCAGUCUAUGGAAACCCCAACAAACAAGGAGAUGCUGCCCCAGUUACCGGAUCAUAUGAUGCAGUCUAUGGAAACCCCAAAAAACAAGGAGAUGCUGCCCCAGUUACCGGAUCAUAUGAUGCAGUCUAUGGAAACCCCACAAAACAAGGAGAUGCUUCCCCAGUUACCGGAUCAUAUGAUGCAGUCUAUGGAAACCCCAAAAAACAAGGAGAUGCUGUCCCAGUUACCGGAUCAUAUGAUGCAGUCUAUGGAAACCCCAAAAAACAAGGAGAUGCUGUCCCAGUUACCGGAUCAUAUGAUGCAGUCUAUGGAAACCCCACAAAACAAGGAGAUGCUUCCCCAGUUACCGGAUCAUAUGAUGCAGUCUAUGGAAACCCUAAAAAACAAGGAGAUGCUUCUCCAGUUACCGGAUCAUAUGAUGCAGUCUAUGGAAACCCCAAAAAACAAGGGGAUGCUACCCCAAUCACCGGAUCAUAUGAUGCAGUGUAUGGAAACCCUCAAAAAAUUGUAGGAAGUUCCAUUAAUGCUCAUAAGGAUGCCAGCCCAAUUGCCGGAUAUGAUGCAGUUUAUAGAAACCCUCAAAAAGCAGGAGGAAGUUCUAUUAAUGCUCAGAAGGAUGCUAGCUCAAUUGCCGGAUAUGAUGCAGUCUACGGAAGCGCUCAAAAAGUAGGUGAAAGUUCCAUCAAUGCCCACAAGGAUGCCAACUCAAUUGCCGGAUAUUAUGCAGCCUAUGGAAACCCUCGAGAUGCAGGUGAAAGUUCUAUUGAUGCUGGCAAGGCUAGCCCAACUGCCUCAUAUCGGACUGUUUACGGAAAUCCUCGAAAAGCAAGUGGAAGCACUGAUAUCAAUGCUGGUAAGCCUAGUAGAACUAUGCAAUACGAGAGGGUCUAUGGAAAUCCUCAAAAAGCAGGCGGAAGUUCUGUAAGCGCGGGCAAAAAUAGUCCAAACUUGCAACAAGGACACCAAGAUGGUACCAGUACAGGUAAUGUGUUCUUGGAAAAAGACCUGCAUCCUGGGACUAAAAUGAUGGUGCGCUUCACAAAAACCUCAAGUGCAGCUCAUUUCUUGCCCCAGCAAGUUGCUGAAUCCAUACCUUUUUCAUCAAACAAGCUACCAGAAAUUUUGAAUCAGUUCUCAGUGAAA